UACAAGUGGAUAAACUUUGUCAAUACAAAUUUGGGAUAGAUUGCAGUAUUGAUGAGUUUAAACUUUCAAUCAGCAAUUUGAGACCAGCUGUGGACAGCUCAAAUAAAUGUUUCUAACCCUCUGAAAAAUAUAAACAAAACAAAGGUCACUUAUGCAAGUGUGACAAGCAAAACAUACAAAUAAACUUUGAAAUUAUAAUUCAAACUCAGUAAGGAUACACCUCAAGCUCAAAAUUGAAGGUUCUGCUAUCUGCACAUCUUACCCUCAAUCCAUCUUUGAUCAGUCAGUUCAUUGACUUUAUGAUUUAGAAGUUUCUACUUCAACCUCACAGAAAAAUCUUAAAAAUG
rnacentral:misc_RNA from 1 species